UGUGUAGUACUAAUAGUACAAGCAUUAUGCAACAUGACCCCACACAAAUUGCAACAGAAAUUCUUUCAACUGAUCAAGUCUCAUAAAAAUCUUUUCUGUAACAUACAAAAGUCCAAAGAAAUCCAAGUGGUGGAAAGUAUU